AGGCCUCUUCCCCUCCCUGCAGCCUGUCCGCCACGUUGUUCGCCGGGACCGUGUGCCUGCUGUUUGCUCCUUCCAACCACAGGAUGGUGAGCGAUUUCUUCUAAAGUACCGAGCCUCAGUUCCAUUUUACUACAGCGAUACGGGGCAUCCCUUGGCCCUUGGCCAGCAGCCUCUCCAUCCUCAGACCCCACCGUCUCUGAAGGCGCUGGGCACACCCGCCCUGUCCAUUGAUGAGGGUCCUGGCCGUGUACCAAGCCACCUGGCCAGUCUAGGCAGCCUCUGCCAGGGUCUUGCUGACGAGCACCCUUCCCUUUGCCUCCCUCACGGGCGGGGGACGCAGCUGUGGUUACUUCGGGGACCAUGGACCUGCCUACAGCAUUGACACAGCUGCGAACCCUUGAGGCUAGGCGAGCACAGGCUGUGCUGUUGAGAUUGGAGGGCCCAGGAGGCCCUCAAAACGCCCUGCUGGGGCGGCAGUCCUGCCUUCCAAUUGUUCGGCAGCGCCCACUCUUUCACCGUACCGUCCUCGCCUCUGCCUGUUGAAGGACUUUGUGGGAGCUUUCUUUUCAUCAGCGAAAUGAAAGGGGGACUGGAUUCUCUUGAAGUAAACAGACAAGAUUGGCAGGAAAUUAAGAAAGAGGGAGUCUGAAAGUGUGCUUCUAAGAAAGCGGCAGCAAGGGAAGCCUGAAGAAAGGCGGAGGACUGAGACCUGUGUGUUCUGGACAGGAGGUCGUCGGAACGCUGCCCUGAAGCUCCCACCCUGUGCUCGACAUUCGUUUUGUAGGAGAGGAUAUUGUACUGAGCUCAGGUCACAGUGGAAGGUGCCCCAAGGUUUCGCAUUCCUUUCCUGUGUGUGCAGAGCAGAGUUCAGACUGGGCCACCGCUGAGAAACGACUUAAAAAUUUCAUUGCUCUGCGUCACGAGUUUCCACGGCAAUGCAAAUGCAACAGAAUCCGAGCAAGAGGAAGUCCCGCGGGUCAUCAGGAUCGCCAGGAGAGUCAGGAGCUCCGCCCUCCAAGCAGUUCGGCCGCUGGCCUGGACCUGGACGGGCACGGAGCCCUGGCGCCACCUGGUGUUCACAUGGAAAAUGCCGGCCACGGAGGGAAUCAAACGCAAGGGCCGGGGGUCGCUGGUGACAACCUGCAGUGAGGGGCUCCCCAGCCUCUGCACACCGGCCUGCUUCAAGGCUGGAUACCCCUUGAGUUGUGGACGGAAUCCAGUGGUGAAGUGACACUAGGAGCACAGGGGAACCAAGACAAGCUGGCCACUUGCAGCCUCAGGUGUGCGUGAUGUGGGGUGCACAUGUGUCGGUUUCUCAGAGCUGCAGCCGCCGAUUCUGCAGGGUCUGCAGUCCCCAAGGAUGGGAACAUCUUCCCCGAGACCCC